rnacentral:rRNA from 1 species
GACGAAGGGGGCUAGCGUUGUUCGGAAUUACUGGGCGUAAAGCGUGCGUAGACGGUUAUCUAAGUCGGGUGUGAAAGCCCCGGGCUCAACCUGGGAAUUGCAUUCGAUACUGGAUAGCUAGAGUUCGGCAGAGGGAAGUGGAAUUUCCGGUGUAGCGGUGAAAUGCGUAGAUAUCGGAAGGAACAUCAGUGGCGAAAGCGACGCACUGGACCUCUUCUGACGCUGAGGCGCGAAAGCCAGGGGAGCAAACGGGG